UUUGUUUCCUUAAACCUUAGGGUUUUGCUGUCUUCGCCAUAUUGAGCAGCCAUGGUAGCAAAGCAAUUAGAUGACGAACAACAAACCCUCAACUAUGAAUCCAAAUCGCAUAAGAAAAACAAGAGAAAGCUCGAAGAAUCUGACCCUGACGUUUUUGUAGAGUCCAAAAAGGAGAAAAAGAAGAAGAAGGAGAAACAGAAGCAAGAACAAGAAGUGCAUAAUGGGAGCAGUGAAACUCUUUGUGGGGUUGAUGGAAAUACUGAAAUAAUUGAUGGGUCAGUUGAGUUUUCUGAAAAGACGAAGAAGAAGAAAAAGAAGAAGGGUAAACAGAAUCAAGAACAAGAAGGGUAUAAUUGGAACACUGAAACUCUUAGUGGGUCUAAUGGAAAUACUGAAUUAUUUGAGAAGAAGAAGAAGAAUAAGGUAGAGGAAGAGAAUUUGAAUGAUGGGUCUGUUAAUGGGGAAGUUAAAGAAAAUAGUACAAAUGUGGUGGUUACUGGUAAAGGAGCUAAUGAGUCAAAGUACAAAGCUUUAACAAACUUUGUAGAUUCAGGGCUUCCAAGGGAAGUAUUGGAAUGUUGCAAGAACUUCGAGAAACCAUCGCCAAUUCAGUCUCAUUCAUGGCCUUUUCUUUUAGAUGGUCGUGAUUUCAUUGGAAUUGCGAGAACUGGAUCAGGUAAGACGUUGGCUUUUGGUAUUCCGGCUAUUAUGCACAUCAUGAGUAAGCGGAAUAGUAAGAAGUCUAAGAAUCCCGUUUGCCUUGUGCUUUCGCCUACGAGGGAGCUAGCUCAACAAAUAGCAGAUGUUCUCUGUGAGGCUGGGAAGUCUACUGCUGUGCAAUCAGUUGUUCUAUAUGGCGGAGUUGAAAAGCACCAUCAAAAGGCUUCUCUUAGAUCUGGUGUGGAUAUUGUUAUUGGAACCCCAGGUCGUUUGCAAGAUAUGAUGGAAAUGGGAGCUUGUAACUUAAAAGAGGUUUCUUUUGUGGUGCUAGAUGAAGCUGAUCGCAUGCUUGAUUUAGGUUUUGAACCAGCAGUCCGUGCUAUAUUGAGCCAAACAUGCUCUGUUCGGCAGAUGGUUAUGUUCAGUGCUACAUGGCCUCCGGCUGUUCAUCAAUUAGCUCAAGAAUUCAUGGAUCCCAAUCCAAUCAAGGUAGUUGUAGGUUCAGAAGAUUUGGCUGCCAACCAUGAUGUCAUGCAAAUUGUCGAGGUCUUGGAAGAUCGAGCCCGUGAUGAGCGUUUACAAAACUUGCUGGAAAAGUACCACAAGUCUAGAAGGAAUAGAGUAUUGGUUUUUGUUUUAUACAAGAAGGAAGCAUCUCGUGUUGAAAUGAUGCUACAGAAAAGGGGUUGGAAAGUCGUGUCCAUUAGUGGUGACAAGCAACAGCAUGCUCGUACUAAGGCACUGUCACUCUUCAAGGACGGAAGCUGUCCUCUAAUGAUAGCUACUGAUGUAGCUGCUCGAGGACUGGAUAUACCUGAUGUUGAAGUUGUGAUAAAUUAUAGUUUCCCUUUGACAACAGAGGAUUAUGUUCAUAGAAUUGGAAGAACUGGAAGGGCUGGUAAAAAAGGUGUAGCUCAUACAUUCUUCACUAAGGAUAACAAGGGACUUUCUGGGGAGUUAAUAAAUGUCCUCAGAGAAGCUGGACAGACUGUUCCAGCUGCCCUUCUCAAUUUUGGAACCCAUGUAAAGAAAAAGGAGUCCAAGAUCUAUGGUGCUCAUUUUAGAGAAAUUGAUGCAAAUGCUCCAAAGGCUACAAAAAUAAAAUUUGGCGAUUCUGAUAACGAAGAUUGAGCAAAACCAAUAUAAAUGUUGCCAAUUUGUCAUUGAGUUGUAGCAGCACGACUCAUUUGAAUUGGUUCCAAGCUUCCUCAUCCUGACAUUCUAUAGAAUGUCAUUUGGCGGACACAUGGAGAAGUGGAUCGUUGUGAGAAGAACGCAAGAGAUACCCCACAGCUAUCAGCUCAUGUACGUCCACAGAAAAUUCCUGUUUCUGUGCAAUUGAAGGUCAACAAUGAUGAUGGGUUGGGUGUUGAUUGAUGCUGCUAUUCGUAACAUCAGGGGGUAAUUUGGAAUAAUAAGUUUACUGAUCGUUUUGGUGAUGAUGGAAGUUGUCCGCUUGUUUUUGGGGAUAUACUGUGUGCUAGUCAGGUAUCCGAAGAGUAAACUCUUUUGGAAUUAAUGAAAAUUAGAAUCAAGAAAGUUUAUGGCAGUUGAUGUGAAAUCUGGUGUUAAUAAGAUUACGAGUACUGCUGAUAAGCCAGGUUUUGGUGUUACUAAGUUUAGGUUUUUAGUGAUGUUGAUGAGCCAGUCUUUUGUGUUGGAUCUUAUGAUUUCCUUCUUCCUAAGCAUGUCUACUUGUGAGUGGAUAAAUUACAUAAUACAACACCUUUAAUUUAUCAUUGUUACUUAAAAUUUUAACCUUUUAAAAUAAUUACAUAAAUCCUUUUCUUUUA